UCAUAAUAUGAACAACUAAUCUGCAUUUUGAGUUUUUGACUACAUUUUAGGCCAAAAGAGAUAAAGAAACUGGCCUUUAAGUUCGUUUAAAAGUCCAAAAGAGCAAGAUCUAAAGAAGCAUAGAUGGUGGAAAAAUCUUAUAAAUGUCUUCUUGAAUACAUUUAGAUCAAAUGAUGACCUGAUCUAAUGUUGCGUCAGUGCGAGCAUGAAUAUCGUCUAACACUGCGUCAUGUUCAAGACAAAGGUCCAGUUCAUCCAGUCGGAAGCUCUUCGCCUUAAAAAAUUCUAUUUGUAUCAUAAUGGUUUUGUUAGAUUAGGUAGACAUAAUAACCAAUAGAGUAACAUUUGGGACUUAAGUGAGAUUUGUGAUCACAGUGGUUUGUUUUUUAGUAAGUGACUAUUUAUGGUUGUGUCACAUGAUAUAACAAUGAAGUCAUUAUGAGAAGAAAUUUGACUUGGUGCUGAGAUCAUAUGCGACUAUCAUGGAUGCAGGUACUUUUUGGUUUAUUUUGUCAAAGAGCCUUCUUGUUUGGAGUGUCUCCAUCACAUGAUACAAUAAUGAUAAACUUUCUGUUGGAUGAAAGGAAGCUAGGAGGUGUGGGAGUCUCUUAGACCAUAAUUAUCGCCUGCAAUUCCAUAGUUCCUACAGGUUUUCCAAGUUGCUUGUGUCAGGGCAAACAGAUAUUUCAUAUUUAAUGGACGUGCUUUAUAUUGAAUUGUUGGCACGCAGAAGCACGUCCUUUAGCAUUUGCUGGAUCAUUCAAUUACAGUAACAAAUUACCAACUAUACUAUAAAGAAAGAUUGCAA